rnacentral:rRNA from 1 species
GAUGAACGCUGGCGGCGUGCCUAAUACAUGCAAGUCGAGCGAACAGACGAGGAGCUUGCUCCUCUGACGUUAGCGGCGGACGGGUGAGUAACACGUGGAUAACCUACCUAUAAGACUGGGAUAACUUCGGGAAACCGGAGCUAAUACCGGAUAAUAUAUUGAACCGCAUGGUUCAAUAGUGAAAGACGGUUUUGCUGUCACUUAUAGAUGGAUCCGCGCCGCAUUAGCUAGUUGGUAAGGUAACGGCUUACCAAGGCAACGAUGCGUAGCCGACCUGAGAGGGUGAUCGGCCACACUGGAACUGAGACACGGUCCAGACUCCUACGGGAGGCAGCAGUAGAGAAUCUUCCGCAAUGGGCGAAAGCUUGACGGAGCAACGCCGCGUGAGCGAUGAAGGUCUUCGGAUCGUAAAACUCUGUUAUUAGGGAAGAACAAAUGUGUAAGUAACUAUGCACGUCUUGACGGUACCUAAUCAGAAAGCCACGGCUAACUACGUG